rnacentral:rRNA from 1 species
AUGACCUCAGAAAGCUGGUCACCGAAGGUCAGCGAGAUCCGGUGUGCGCAGCGUAAGGAAGGCUCCGCCGCCGUGCUGGCUAUUGGAACCGCAAACCCAGCCAACCAAGUGUCCCAGGAAGAGUACCCUGACUACUAUUUCCGUGUUACCAAGAGCGAGCACCUUACUGACCGCAAAGACACAUUCAAGAUAAUAUGUGGUCUAACGGGCCUGGAGAAUCGUUUCUUUUACCACUCGGAGGAACUACUCAACUCCCACCCAGAGUUGCUGGACCGCACGUCGCCUUCCCUCGAGGCUCGGCAGGAUAUCGUGGCCAAGGCUGCUCCACAGCUGGCGGCAUCAGCCGCAAGGAAGGCCAUCGCAAAGUGGGGCCGUCCGGCCACUGACAUCACCCACGUCGUAGUCAGCACCAACGAUGUCGGCGCCCCAAGCGUCGACGUAUUCUUGGUUUCACUCCUUGGCCUUCGCACCAACGUCCGCCGUACGAUGCUCCAGCUUACCGGCUGCUCUGCCGGGUGUGCAACAUUGCGCCUGGCCAAGGACCUCGCUGAGAACAACCAUGGCGCACGUGUCCUCGUUGCAUGUGUGGAGCUCUCCAUUGCUGGCCUCUGUAGCCCCGGCGAAGGCGAGAGCUUAGACGCCCUCAUUACUCAUGCACUGUUCGGUGAUGGGGCCGGUGUGGUUAUCAUCGGCGCGGAUCCCGUUCACCCGGUCGAGCAGGCGUUGUUUGAGUUGGUGUCAGUUUCCCAGACCGUCGUUCCCAGAACCGAGCAUAUGCUCACCCUGAGGAUGGGGAGCUACGGCAAUCAUGGCAAAGUUUCCACCAAACUGACCCAAGUGGUGGCACAAAACAUCGAACAAUGUCUGAUGGAAGCAUUUGGUCCAACUGGCUUGAUCGUCGACUGGAAUGACCUCUUCUGGGCAGUGCACCCCGGCAGCCGUUUGAUGUUGGACCAAAUUGAUGAGACCCUCAAGUUGGCGCCCACAAAGCUAGCAGCAAGCCGAACAAUUCUACAAAACUACGGGAACAUGUUCAGUGCCACCGUGAUCUUCGUCCUUGAUGAGCUCCGGCGCCGAAUGGAGGAAGGAGAACCAGCAGACUGGGGGGCCAUGGUGGGAUUUGGACCAGGUUUCACCAUGGAGACGGUGGUGCUGCGCGCAACUGGCUUUUUAAAGAAAAGUUAG